GACGAACGCUGGCGGCGUGCCUAAUACAUGCAAGUUGAGCGCUGAAGGUUGGUACUUGUACCAACUGGAUGAGCAGCGAACGGGUGAGUAACGCGUGGGGAAUCUGCCUUUGAGCGGGGGACAACAUUUGGAAACGAAUGCUAAUACCGCAUAAAAACUUUAAACACAAGUUUUAAGUUUGAAAGAUGCAAUUGCAUCACUCAAAGAUGAUCCCGCGUUGUAUUAGCUAGUUGGUGAGGUAAAGGCUCACCAAGGCGAUGAUACAUAGCCGACCUGAGAGGGAGAUCGGCCACAUUGGGACUGAGACACGGCCCAAACUCCUACGGGAGGCAGCAGGAGGGAAUCUUCGGCAAUGGACGGAAGGCUGACCGAGCAACGCCGCGGGAGGGAAGAAGGGUUUCGGAUCGGAAAACUCUGUUGGUAGGGAAGAACGUUGGUGAGAGUGGAAAGCUCAUCAAGUGACGGUAACUACACAGAAAGGGACGGCUAACUACGUG
rnacentral:rRNA from 1 species